UUCCAGACUCCUACGGGAGGCAGCAGUGAGGAAUAUUGGUCAAUGGCCGAGAGGCUGAACCAGCCAAGUCGCGUGAGGGAAGACGGCCCUACGGGUUGUAAACCUCUUUUGUCGGGGAGCAAAGCGAGUCACGUGUGACUCAUUGAGAGUACCCGAAGAAAAAGCAUCGGCUAACUCCGUGCCAGCAGCCGCGGUAAUACGGAGGAUGCGAGCGUUAUCCGGAUUUAUUGGGUUUAAAGGGUGCGUAGGCGGGAUGCGAAGUCAGGGGUAAAAUGCGGGGGCUCAACCUGCGUCCGCCGUUGAAACUGGCGUUCUUGAGUGGGCGAGAAGUACGCGGAAUGCGUGGUGUAGCGGUGAAAUGCAUAGAUAUCACGCAGAACCCCGAUUGCGAAGGCAGCGUACCGGCGCCCGACUGACGCUGAAGCACGAAAGCGUGGGUAUCGAACAGGAUUAGAUACCCUUGUAAA
rnacentral:rRNA from 1 species